GAAUCAUUCACAUUUCUGCCCUAUCAACUUUCGAUGGUCGGAUAGAGGCUCACCCUGGUGUCAACGGGUAACGGGGUGUUAGGGCACGACACCGGAGAGGGAGCUGAGAAACGGCUACCACAUCCAAGGAUAGCAGCAGGCGCGCAAAUUACCCAAUCCCGACCGGGGAGGUAGUGACAAUAAAUAACAAUACGGGGUUCUUUCGGAUCUCGUAAUUGGAAUGAGUACAAUUUAAAUCUCUUAACGAGGAACAAUUGGAGGGCAAGUCUGGUGCCAGCAGCCGCGGUAAUUCCAGCUCCAAUAGCGUAUAUUACAGUUGUUGCAGUUAAAAAGCUCGUAGUUG
rnacentral:rRNA from 1 species